rnacentral:rRNA from 1 species
UGCCCCGCGCUCCGGGACAACCGCUGGAAACGGCGGCUAAUACCGGAUGCUCCGGGGAGGCCCCAUGGCCUCCCCGGGAAAGCCUUAACGGCGCGGGAUGGGGUCGCGGCCCAUUAGGUAGACGGCGGGGUAACGGCCCACCGUGCCCGCGAUGGGUAGCCGGACUGAGAGGUCGACCGGCCACAUUGGGACUGAGAUACGGCCCAGACUCCUACGGGAGGCAGCAGUGGGGAAUUUUGCGCAAUGGGGGGAACCCUGACGCAGCAACGCCGCGUGCGGGACGAAGGCCUUCGGGUUGUAAACCGCUUUCAGCAGGGAAGACUUUGACGGUACCUGCAGAAGAAGCUCCGGCUAACUACGUGCCAGCAGCCGCGGUAAUACGUAGGGGGCGAGCGUUAUCCGGAUUCAUUGGGCGUAAAGCGCGCGUAGGCGGCCGCCUAAGCGGAACCUCUAAUCCCGGGGCUCAACCUCGGGCCGGGUUCCGGACUGGGCGGCUCGAGUGCGGUAGAGGCAGGCGGAAUUCCCGGUGUAGCGGUGGAAUGCGCAGAUAUCGGGAAGAACACCGAUGGCGAAGGCAGCCUGCUGGGCCGCCACUGACGCUGAGGCGCGAAAGCUGGGGGAGCGAACAGGAUUAGAUACCCUGGUAGUCCCAGCCGUAAACGAUAGGCGCUAGGUGUGGGGGGACCAUCCCCCCGUGCCGCAG